GAUGAACGCUGGCGGCGUGCCUAAUACAUGCAAGUCGAGCGAACGGACGAGAAGCUUGCUUCUCUGAUGUUAGCGGCGGACGGGUGAGUAACACGUGGAUAACCUACCUAUAAGACUGGGAUAACUUCGGGAAACCGGAGCUAAUACCGGAUGAUAUUUUGAACCGCAUGGUUCAAAAGUGAAAGACGGUCUUGCUGUCACUUAUAGAUGGAUCCGCGCUGCAUUAGCUAGUUGGUAAGGUAACGGCUUACCAAGGCAACGAUGCAUAGCCGACCUGAGAGGGGGAUCGGCCACACUGGAACUGAGACACGGUCCAGACGCCUACGGGAGGCAGCAGUAGGGAAUCUUCCGCAAUGGGCGAAAGCCUGACGGAGCAACGCCGCGUGAGUGAUGAAGGUCUUCGGAUCGUAAAACUCUGUUAUUAGGGAAGAACAUAUGUGUAAGUAACUGUGCACAUCGUGACGGUACCUAGUCAGAAAGCCACGGCUAACUACGUG
rnacentral:rRNA from 1 species